ensembl:lincRNA
CUAAUAUAUCAUGACAUUUUUUUGAAAGAUAUUUGAAUCUGUACAUUAGCCCAUAGCAUGAACCAACUAAUAAAUUAAUAAUAUAUCGAAGUCCUAGAGUGUGGUCAAAAUUAUUUUACAAAAAAAAUACUUGAAUAAAUCAAAUAGUAAACUAAUUUGAAUAGUGCACUAAAUUGAGUGAUCACUCCAAUUGUAUGUAAAUACAUUUGUACCUAAUACCACAAACCAUCCGCUUCAUAUUUCCACAAAAGACUCUGGCAUUCUUUAAAGAACAUGCACAGUUAAGCAUUAGGUUUAAUCAAGAGUUGGCGUCCAACACCUUUCCAUCUGCCAGUACCUUGAUGCAAAAUCUUGAAGAAGUUUAUUUUCUUAUAAAGUAACGGCAGCAUUUUUUAACUAAUCUCAACUGAUGACUUCCCAAAGCAUGGCUAUAAAGUGCCACUCAAACUUUCUACACUGCCCAAAUCAGUAGAUUCAUAACUUGACAUAGCCCACAGGAGCUACCCUCACAGCCCUGCAGUUAACUGCAUUCGGUAAAUAUUUGCAUCCAUGGUACUACAGAUGCUAAUGACUGUGUUGAACAUACACAUGUAAACACACACCCCUCGCUGUGUAACAGCCUGUCAAUAAAUUGUAAAAACAGACACAAUAUACUCAUGGGUAAGGUGGAUAUCCAUCACCCACUCAUUGUAACAGGACAAUAUCUCUUUUUGUUUAUCUUGAUUUUGAACGUGUAUGUGUGUGCGCGCAGGUUACCGGAGAGGGAGAUCCGUUCUUGCAGAGGGGCCCUCUGAAGACUCCUUUAAUGCCCCGAUAGUGCCCAUUGCUGAGAUGUCUCGAACUGAUGACCAGGUAACAAGCCAUGUGGGUCCAAGCAGGAGGCGCAGAGUCUCAACUCCUCACCAGACGACCAGGCGCGGAAAAGCGGGCUGGUUUCUCAGCAGCGACAGUGACUGCCACCUCCCGAGAAGAAGCGGCCAGCGGCAAGCAGGGGACGCGGCGGCGGCGGCGCGUCCCCGCUCCUCGCCCCGCGCGGGGCUCCUGCUGCCGGCAGCAGCGGCUGCUCUGACGGCGGCGGCGGCGGCAGCGGCAGCCACACAGCACUUAGGGGACCCGACGAGCCAGUCCACAUGCUGCUCUGACGAGGUACAAUUUGGACACGGAGAUGGAGGCACAGGGAGAUGGCCACGUGAAGACUGGAAUUAUCCUUCCACGGGCCAAAAAAUGAAGAUCGCCAGCAAGGAGAGUGACAUGAAACAGAUUCCCCCUCAUGGCACUCAGAAGGAACCAAUCCAGCCAGCAUCUUGAUUUCAAACCUCUAGCUUCAGAAGUGUGUGACACUCCAUGUUAUUGAAGCAACCCCACCUGUUGUACUCUGAUCGAACAGCUUUAGGAAACUAACACGCAUUGUAGAGAUGUGCCUCAGUUUGUUUAUCCAUUCACCUGUUAAAAGACAUCGUGGGGGAUCCCAAGUUUGGGCAAGUAUGAAUAAAGCUGCCAUAAACCUUCAUGAGAAGGAUUUUGUGUGGACCUAAGCUUUCAGCUCCUUUGAGUAAAUGCCAAGAAAUGCAACCACUGGAUCUUAUAUUGAGUUUUGUAAGAAAUUUCCAAAUCAUCUUAUAUUGAGUUUUGUAAGAAACUGCCAAACUGUACCCCUGGCAUUGCUGCCAACAAUGGGUGAUGGUUUCUGGUGCGCCGUGUCAUCACCAACAUCUGGUGUGGUCAAGUGUUUUGGAUUUUUAGCCACUCUAAUAGGUGUAUAGUGGCAUCUCACUGCUGUUUUAAUUUGUAGUUCUCUAAUGACAUAUGUUGUUGAAGGUCUUUUCAUUAUGCUCCUUUGCCAUCUCUGUAUCUUCUUUGGUUAGGUGUCAGUUCACAUCAUUUGCUCAUUUUUUAAUUGGUUUACUUAUUUUCCUUUUCUUAAGCUUUAAGAGCCCUUUGUAUAUUUUGGGUACCACUCUGUUAUCAUUUAAGAUAUUUGCAAAUGUUUUCCCCCAAUAUGUGGCAUAUCUUGUCAUUUCUUACCAGUGUCUUUGGCAGAGCAGAAGCUUUUAAUUUUAAUAUUGCCCAAUUUAUUUAUUUAUUUUUCUUUCAUGGAUUGUGCUUCCAGUGUUGUACCUAAAAAGUCACCACCAAACCUGAAGUCACCUAGAUUUUUCUCCAUGUUAUCUUCCAGGAGUGUUACAGUUUUAGACUUUCAUUUAGGUCCAUGGUCCAUUUUAAGUGAAUUUUUGUGGAAAAGGUAAGGUCUUUGUCUAGAUUCAUUUUUUCCCUUUUUUGGAUGUCAAUGUCCAGUUGUUCCAGCACCAGUUAUUGAAAAGAACUGAAUUAUUUUUGCUCCUUUGUCAAAGAUAAGUUGGCUGUUUUUGUACGGGUCUAUUUCUGGGUUUUCUAGUCUGUUCCACUGACUGAUCUAUUUGUCUACCCUUUCACCAAUACCACACUGUUUUGAUUACUGUAAGAGGCUAUUUUCAACAUGUUAAGCUUUUAUAUAUUUUAAUACUUUAUUGUGUAUCUAGGUAUUGAUUAUUUCUCAUUCUUGAAUGACAACUAUGAAAGCAGUGAACUCCUCUAUUUUGUCUGCUCUGUGGAUCUAACACUUAAAGCAAUGCCUUGAGAAUACAGAAGCUCUUAACUGGUAUGUGGGAAGUAAAUGAAUAAGUGUUUUCUAUUUUAACCUACUAAUUACCACAGUUAUUUCCAUAAUGGUGUAUUGUGUGUGUACACACACACACAUACAUAUACAUGAGAAAUUCUGAAAUUUGGUUGCAGUAUUUUUGUUUUUUUUUUAGGUCUAAGACACAUUUGGCAAAAUUCCACUAAUUCUUCUACUUAACUAAAC